UCAGACCCAUGCAGCAAUAGAAACCGAGGUGAAAACACAAAUGCCACCAACCUGCAAACCGAACGGCAUGAGUCAAUGACAUGAGCCCCAAGACAUGUUUUGAGCCCAAGCAAUGGUCCAAGUCACAGGGAGGGUCAGCUUACUUGUUCUACCAAAACAUCAACGUCAGGAAGAGGCAUUUGCAACAGAAUUUCAUCGACUGCAGAGACAGCUGGCUAAUUUGAUCAUUCCAGUGCUGCUGGGCUUGCCUGCUCGAGUAACCACUUGUACUCCAACCCUUGUUUCAGGGUCUGCUUCUGGGGGAACUCAAACUAAGAUCAGCAGUGAGGGCAGGCUUCUCUCAAAGGUGCCACCAGAGCACAUACCUAAUCCCGAGAAGCAGGCAGCUAAGCGGAGGAAGAGAAGGAAGAAACUAUCCUAUCCGAGAUUCACAGUCUGUUUCAGAUGCCCUUCAUUUGCUUGGUAUUAAUUAAGCAUCUACUCUGUGGAAGGCGCUAGUACGUUAGCAUGGAUAACCUUCUCCUGAAGGUGCUGGAUGUUCAGACUCCAGCGACUGAAGGACCUGAGGACGAUGAUCUGGAAUGGAAGCGUGGAAGACUGAACCCAUGAGCCCAUUUCUGCAGGAACACGGCUCUACGUCUGGGGGCAGCCGGGGGCGCCUGCCAUGCCUGCUAAGUCACCUGGGGAUGUGUGACUUGCCGGGGAAGAGUAGACGGAGAUCAGAAAUAGUCUUGUCUCCUGAUCCGACUGGCAUGCUACUGACUUUUCAGAAAUUAUUCUCGGUUUUUGUCUGAAGGCGGGCACUGAUACCUUUUUAAAAAUUGAUACCUUUGAGACAAAGUAUGGGAGACGCAAGAGAAGUCACCCACCUCAGUUCCCUUUCCUUUUGGGUGGAGACAUCUACAGCCUCAGUGCUUUCGUGGACCCAGAUAACCGGUUUGGUAGUUUGGGGCUGCAGAAACAGCUGGAGUGAAAGGAGAGGAUUUUAUUUAACCUGCAUUUUAAUGUACAGCCAGCUUCUCCUGAGACCUCUGGGAGUCCUCAAAUCUGUAAACACAGAAGCUUCAGGCUUCACCACUGGGUAGCCUGUUUCCACCCUACCUGGUACUCACGCCCUUCAUGAAUUUCUCUGUCCGGGAGUCUGGGCCGGGCCUGUGACCCGGCUCAUUCUGUUGGCAAUACAAGUCACAGGCCCAGCCUUGAGAAGGCCUGGAAGCUUCUGCCUUUACAGUCUUGGGGACCCUAAACCACGAGGUAAGAAGUCCUGUUCCCUUGCUGGAGAGACCACGCGGAGAGGCUGCUUGGAGAGGGAGAAGUCCUGAGACAACGCAGAAAGAGUGUAGCCAGCCCCCAGGUGACCUACUAGCAGACGGACUACCAGCGAGACUAGAAGAACUGCCCAGGGAGCUCAUCCCAGACUCCAGCAUCUUGAACCAACAGCUCCUUCCCCAUGGUUUGAAUACACAGUGAGCUGAAGAGAAGAGGCACCAUGGCUGGGUAACAUCUGUUCAUUAAACGAGAGUUACUAAUGGACUGAGCGAGAACAGGCGGUAUUCCCUUUAUGACAUGGGGAGAUUUACCCAGAAAACCGAGCUGUGCUUUGGACCUGGUCUUCGGAUUAUUCUGGUCUGUCAUUCUGGAAGUCUAUUGUUCUGUGAAACCUGGAACCAAAGAUACCUUCGGGAAUGACUGCUGAUCAUCAGUACCUAGUUUUUCUUCCCAUUUCUGUUGAUCAUCCAGGACUGAUCACUCUACACAUAGACUUCAGCAUCUGCAAGGGCCAUCAUGUGUUCUGUGGUCUGUGCAGGCUGGCUCCAAUCAUGGAAACCCAGGUUUGCCACCAAAGUUCACUUCCCUGAAGCAAGCUGGACGUCUCCUUCAUGGCGUCGGGCGUGGUGACCCUCCUCUCCCAUCUCGCCCUAGCAGCACAAUCCCUGCUGUUGCCC